ACUACGGGAGGCAGCAGUAGGGAAUUUUGCGCAAUGGGCGAAAGCCUGACGCAGCAACACCGCGUGAAUGUUAAGCCCUUCGGGGUGUAAAGUUCUGUCAAUAGGGACGAAUUUUGACUGUACGUAUAAAGGAAGCACCGGCUAACUCCGUGCCAGCAGCCGCGGUAAUACGGGGGGUGCAAGCGUUGUCCGGAAUCAUUGGGCGUAAAGCGUUCGUAGGCGGCAAGGUAAGUCUGUUGUUAAAGGCCGGGGCUCAACUCCGGUUCGGCAUUGGAUACUAUCUUGCUCGAAUGUGGGAGAGGUAAAGGGAAUGCGUGGUGUAGCGGUGAAAUGCGUAGAUAUCAGGAGGAACAGCGGUGGCGAAAGCGCUUUACUGGACCAUUAUUGACGCUGAGGAACGAAGGCGAGGGGAGCGAAUGGGAUUAGAUACCCUAGUAGUC
rnacentral:rRNA from 1 species